GCCUGAUGCAGUGGUGCAAGCCUGUAGUCCCAGCUAGGCUGGAGGCUGAGGCGGGAGGAUGCCUUGAGCCCAGGAGUUCUGGGCUGUAGUGUGCUAUGCUGAUCAGGUGUCUGCACUAAGGUCGCCAUCAAUAUGGUGACUUCCCAGGAGCAGGGGACCACCAGGUUGCCUAAGGAGGGGUGAACCGGCCUAGGUCAGAAACGGAGCAGGUCAAAACUCCUGUGCUGAUCAGAAGUGGGAUCGUGCCUGUGAAUAGCCACUGCACUCCAGCCUGGGCAACACAGUGAGACCCCAUCUCA
rnacentral:SRP_RNA from 1 species